CACAGGUUAAUACACUCUACUGAUCCCUGAUGGGAGAAUCAUCACCUCUGCCAACAAAGAAGCCUGGUGGAUGUUUGUUUGCAGUCUGAUGAUGGGACAUCAUGCUCUGCAUCUUCAAAUCUUUUUGCAGGAUCAGAAAACAAAACCAGGAGGCCUGUAAAUGUUUCUUCUCCAAUUGGAUGAUGAUAAGACUGUGACACGGGAUGCCACCUUUAGUCUUGUGAUGAAGCAAAGCUCAGGAAGAAGUGUGAUUAAAUGGUACCCACAUGUGUGCUGCUGAGAAGGAUGUACAGGGGCACCUGCAGCCAAAUCCAAGCCUCCUCAGAUGGUGAUGGUGUGGAGAGGCGGUGGUGUUUCCUCAGAAGAACUAGCAGAGUCACAAAGGACACGAGUCCUUCUCACCACCUUGACUUGCUGACUGAUGCUCGUCUGCACUGCACAGAGGAAAUCAACUGACCGAGGUAAAUCUCCAGUUUCUGAGUGAGGGAGAGAGGAGUCAUCAUCCAGGUAAAGUGACGUGGAUCAGUGGAUACACUUGUCUCCCCUUUAGAGGAGAUACUCUUAGAGAGAGACGAUCUGAGUCAUCCUUAAAUAUGGGCAGGAUAUCACUAUUAGACUGUCUAACCUGCCGGAGCAGCACUGAAUGAUCACCACACAUGAGCAUGUUCCUGCAACAUUCAGCAGCUUUGCUUUUGUGUCAAAUGUCAACCAGCUGGAGAGGAAACUACACCAGUGUACUGGGAUGUUUCACCAGACGCUGUUCCUUCAUGGUGACAUCACCAGAGACGGCCCCGCCCACCUCAGCUCUUGUUUAACACUAAUAAUUAACCAUAUGAACAAAAUAAAGUUCAACAUCAGUAACAUAGCACCCACACAGCUGUAUAGAAACUCAGUCAUGCUAGCUAGCACGCAGUACGAAAAAGUCAGCAUAACGAAAAUAAACUCCACCUAAACUUGGUUUAUAUCUGACCCAGAUAGACUGCAGGUCAUAACUUCUUACCUGAAGUUCAGUUCACCUGACACGCGGACCGGCGGCCGCUUCGGGUCUCUCCUCCUGCCUCCCCUUUCUCUCAUCCACCUGCUGGCCUCCACCACUUGCUAAUGUUACUGAAUCUGUGGAAGCUCCGCGAUAUCCACC
ensembl:lncRNA